rnacentral:rRNA from 1 species
GAUGAACGCUGGCGGCGUGCCUAAUACAUGCAAGUCGAGCGAACAGACGAGGAGCUUGCUCCUCUGACGUUAGCGGCGGACGGGUGAGUAACACGUGGAUAACCUACCUAUAAGACUGGGAUAACUUCGGGAAGCCGGAGCUAAUACCGGAUAAUAUAUUGAACCGCAUGGUUCAAUAGUGAAAGACGGUUUUGCUGUCACUUAUAGAUGGAUCCGCGCCGCAUUAGCUAGUUGGUAAGGUAACGGCUUACCAAGGCAACGAUGCGUAGCCGACCUGAGAGGGUGAUCGGCCACACUGGAACUGAGACACGGUCCAGACUCCCACGGGAGGCAGCAGUAGGGAAUCUUCCGCAAUGGGCGAAAGCUUGACGGAGCAACGCCGCGUGAGUGAUGAAGGUCUUCGGAUCGUAAAACUCUGUUAUUAGGGAAGAACAAAUGUGUAAGUAACUAUGCACGUCUUGACGGUACCUAAUCAGAAAGCCACGGCUAACUACGUG